UGCGGGUGUGGAUGCCCGCUCUGUAGCAGCCUGGGCCGUUACUGAUUGGACAAGUCAAAGAAAGGAAAACCAGCCCGGUCAACAAGUCCAGUCCCAGCCCCUUGCCCAAGCUGCCCAGCCAAGCCAGCCUCCAACCGUCAUCUGCCAUGGGGCUGGCUUGGCUGAAGACACCGGACCGACGCCAGUAGAACGAUUGAGCAACGUCAGAAUUCACCAAGAAACAGGAUACAGGAGGACUCACAGGAUCAUCCACGUCAAGUCAUCAUCCCCGAGCACCUCCGAGUCUUCCUAAGAGAGAUCUCCGACCGCCCUAAUGGACCCUCAUCAGUCCUGGCCCUGUGCCCUAGUCGCCACUCUGCAUGCCAACCAAGAGUGGCGGCCCAUGAUGAGUGGUCCAUGACCAACUUUUGGCGACCAUACAGCUGGUUGUCUGUCAGACUACCAUCCUAAAAUCCUAAGAGAGAUCUCCGGCCGCCCUAAUGGACCCUCAUCAGCCUGCCAUGUGCACUAGCCGCCACUCUGCAUGCCAACCAAGAGUGGCGGCCCAUGAUGAGUGGUCCAUGACUUUUGGCGACUAGUUGGUUGUCUGUCAGACUACCAUCCUAAAGAGCUCUCCUCCUGAAGACUUGGGAGCAGAAACACACUGUACACCAGCAGGGUGACAUUCCUGCUCGACACCACCUCGACUCUAGUUCCGGUGGCAGCAUCAUAUCUGGAGUUGAUACAACACCUCUAGGCUCCAACCCUGUUGCCUGCAGGUGUGGAAGCCCGUUCCGUAGCAGCCUGGGCCGUUACUGAUUGGACGAGUCAAAGAAAGGAAAACCAGCCCGGUAAACAAGUUCAGUCCCAGCCCCCUGCCCAAGCUGCCCUGCCAAGCCAGCCUCCAAAUGUCAUCUAUCAUGGGGCUGGCAGUAACUGAAGACACCGGACCGACGCCAGUAGAACGAUUGAGCAACAUCAGAAUUCACCAAGAUACAGGAUACAGGAGGACUAAAAGGAUCAUCAACGUCAAGCGACUCUCCCCAAGUACCUCCUUGUCUUCCUAAAGAGAGAUCUCCGGCCGCCCUAGUGGACCCUCAUCAGUCCUGUCUCUGUGCCCUACGUCGCCACUCUUCAUGUCAACCAAGAGUGGCGGCCCAUGAUGAGUGGUCCAUGACCGACUUUUGGCGGCCAGCCUAAAAGAUCUCUCUCCUUCUGAAGACUCGGUGCAGAGACGCAGUCCACACGGGA